GUUUUCGGAUCGUAAAGCUCUGUUGUUAGGGAAGAACGAGUGCCGAUCAAAUAGGGGGGCACCUUGACGGUACCUAACCAGAAAGCCCCGGUUAAUUACGUGCCAGCAGCCGCGGNAAUACGUAGGUGGCAAGCGUUGUCCGGAAUUAUGGGGCGUAAAGGGCUCGCAGGGGGUUUCUUAAGUCUGAUGUGAAAGCCCCCGGCUCAACCGGGGAGGGUCAUUGGAAACUGGGGAACUUGAGUGGAGAAAAGGAGAGGGGAAUUCCACGUGUAGCGGUGAAAUGCGUAGAGAUGUGGAGGAACACCAGUGGCGAAGGCGACUCUCUGGUCUGUAACUGACGCUG
rnacentral:rRNA from 1 species